CAAUAGCGUAUAUUAAAGUUGUUGCAGUUAAAAAGCUCGUAGUUGGAUUUCGGGGCAGCCUGGCUGGUCCGCCGCAAGGCGAGUACUGGUCAGCCGCCCUUCCUCUCGAAAGCCCCGACUGCUCUUCGUUGCAGUGGUCGGGUAGUUCGGGACGUUUACUUUGAAAAAAUUAGAGUGUUCAAGGCAGGCCUACGCCUGAAUACAUUAGCAUGGAAUAAUGGAAGAGGACCUCGGUCCUAUUUUGUUGGUUUCCAGGGCCGAAGUAAUGAUUAAGAGGGACAGUUGGGGGCAUUCGUAUUUAAUUGUCAGAGGUGAAAUUCUCGGAUUUAUGAAAGACGAGCAACUGCGAAAGCAUUUGCCAAGGAUGUUUUCAUUAA
rnacentral:rRNA from 1 species